rnacentral:rRNA from 1 species
ACGGGAGGCAGCAGUGGGGAAUAUUGGACAAUGGGGGCAACCCUGAUCUAGCGACGCCGCGUGAGUGAAGAAGUAUUUCGGUAUGUAAAGCUCUAUCAGCAGGGAAGAUGAUAACGGUACCUGACUAAGAAGCCCCGGCUAACUACGUGCCAGCAGCCGCGGUAAUACGUAGGGGGCAAGCGUUAUCCGGAUUUACUGGGUGUAAAGGGAGCGUAGACGGCUUUGCAAGUCUGAAGUGAAAGCCCGGGGCUCAACCCCGGAACUGCUUUGGAAACUGUAGAGCUAGAGUGCAGGAGAGGUAAGUGGAAUUCCUAGUGUAGCGGUGAAAUGCGUAGAUAUUAGGAGGAACACCAGUGGCGAAGGCGGCUUACUGGACUGUAACUGACGUUGAGGCUCGAAGGCGUGGGGAGCAAACAGGAUUAGAUACCCUGGUA